CAGCAAAUAGUUCCUAAAUAUCUGAUUGAAAGGACCAAGGUAGGACAGGAAUCCAGUGCACAGCAGAAUAUCCCCUACAAGCCUGUUAAGAAACAAUAAAGUGAAUCACCAACACGUUUUAAGCUCUCCCAGUAAGGAAUCUGAAAGGCCAUCGGGCAGUUUCGUUACUAGGUGAAGUUCUUCUCUGCUCCCUGCUUAACACUUGGCAACAAGACAUGGAGCGGGUAAAGGAGCCAGCCUAAAGGCUCCAAAUGGGGUAGGAGUGGCCGCAUUUCAGAGUGUGGGACUCAAGCUCUAAGCACUUUCUUAGAUGGUGGGAUCCCGGCAUGUGGACAUAGAAACGGAGAAAAGCAAGCACUUCAAGGAAUCCGACUUUAUGCUCCCCCAUGUCACAAGAGGUGGCCUUUGGGCUGAUGACUAAGAAGGAGAGCAAUUAUAACAAAGACCAAAGUUGAUACCUAUUAAUCUGAGCUCUGAACUCUUUGCUUUGCUGAGUCCAUCGGACUUUUUCUCCACUCAGUCCAUCAAUGAGGGUGGAAGCUGCCUGCAUCUUUUUCCGGCACAUGUCAGCAUCAUUAAGCAAAUCCUACAAUCAUAAAGGAGAAUGCUUAGAGAACUCUUUAAACUGCUUAAUCAAACAUCCAUUAUACUGACAUGUAAAAAUACCUGGAGGAAUUUCUCAAUGUGCAAAAUAAAUAUAAUCUAAAAAUACACUGUCAGUAAAAUUUUACAUAUUAAAUUUUUACAAUUCAUUCAUAAUACAGUUAUUUCACCUUACAAAAUUUCAAAAGGAGCCAUUUUGAAAGGGAGAAUCCAAAUUUCAUAGCUUAAAUAGGAUUUCUAUUAAAUAUUUUCAAAA